UACGUAGGGUGCGAGCGUUGUCCGGAAUUAUUGGGCGUAAAGGGCUCGUAGGCGGUUUGUCGCGUCGGGAGUGAAAACCUUGGGCUUAACUCAGGGCUUGCUUUCGAUACGGGCAGACUAGAGGUAUGCAGGGGAGAACGGAAUUCCUGGUGUAGCGGUGAAAUGCGCAGAUAUCAGGAGGAACACCGGUGGCGAAGGCGGUUCUCUGGGCAUGAUCUGACGCUGAGGAGCGAAAGUGUGGGGAGCGGACAGG
rnacentral:rRNA from 1 species